GAAUACCAGUGGCGAAGGCGGCCUCCUGGAUCUGUACUGACACUAAGGUGCGAAAGCGUGGGUAGCGAACAGGAUUAGAUACCCUGGUAGUCCACGCCGUAAACGAUGACAACUAGCUGUUGGGAGACAAUGUCUUUCAGUGGCGCAGCUAACGUUUUAAGUUGUCCGCCUGGGGAGUACGGCCGCAAGGCUAAAACUCAAAUGAAUUGACGGGGACCCGCACAAGCGGUGGAGCAUGUGGUUUAAUUCGAUGCAACGCGAAAAACCUUACCUACUCUUGACAUACUUGGAAGCUCUUGUAAUGAGAGUGUGCCUUUUGGAGCCAAGAUACAGGUGCUGCAUGGCUGUCGUCAGCUCGUGUCGUGAGAUGUUCCGUUAAGUCGGAUAACGAGCGCAACCCUUACCCUUAUUUGCCAGCGAUUCGGUCGGGAACUAUAAGGGGACUGCCGGUGAUAAACCGGAGGAAGGUGAGGACGACGUCAAGUCAUCAUGGCCCUUACGAGUAGGGCUACACACGUGCUACAAUGGGGAAUACAGACGGACGCUAAAGCGUGAGCUGGUGCUAAUCCUAAAAAAUUUCUCGUAGUCCGGAUUGCAGUCUGCAACUCGACUGCAUGAAGUCGGAAUCGCUAGUAAUCGCGAAUCAGCAUGUCGCGGUGAAUACGUUCUCGGGUCUUGUACACACCGCCCGUCACACCAUGGAAGUGUGUUGCACCAGAAGUAGGUAGUCUAACCUUCGGGAAGGCGCUUACCACGGUGUGAUCCAUGACUGGGGUGAAGUCGUAACAAGGUAACCGUA
rnacentral:rRNA from 1 species